rnacentral:rRNA from 1 species
UUUGACUCUGGCCUGAAAUCAGGUAGGACUACCCGCUGAACUUAAGCAUAUCAAUAGCCGGAGGAAUCAAUAAGCGGAGGAAAAGAAACUAACAAGGAUUCCCCUAGUAACGGCGAGUGAAGCGGGAAGAGCUCAAAUUUGAAAUCUGGCAGUCUUCGAUUGUCCGAGUUGUAAUCUAUAGAGGCGUUUUCCGUGCCGGACCGUGUCCAAGGCUCCUGGAAAGGAGUAUCAAAGAGGGUGAUAAUCCCGUACUUAACACGACCACCGGUGCUCUGUGAUACGUCUUCUACGAGUCGAGUUGUUUGGGAAUGCAGCUCAAAAUGGGUGGUGAAUUCCAUCUAAAGCUAAAUAUUGGCGAGAGACCGAUAGCGAACAAGUACCGUGAGGGAAAGAUGAAAAGCACUUUGGAAAGAGAGUUAAACAGUACGUGAAAUUGUUGAAAGGGAAACGAUUGAAGUCAGUCGUGUUCUUUGGAUUCAGCCAGUUCUGCUGGUCUACUUCCUUGGAACGGGUCAACAUCAGUUUUGUCCGGUGGAUAAAGGUAGUAGGAAUGUGACUUCUCCGGAAGUGUUAUAGCCUAUUAUCACAUACACUGGGUGAGACUGAGGACUGCAGCUCGCCUUUAUGGCCGGCCUUCGGGCACGUUCGAGCUUAGGAUGUUGACAUAAUGGCUUUAAACGACCCGUCUUCAACAC